rfam:Myotis davidii contig158141, whole genome shotgun sequence.
GCCAGUGUUGCUAAGUGGUUAUAGCAUCAGCCUGUGCACUGAAGGGUCACAGGUUUGAUUCCUGUUAAGGGCC